rnacentral:rRNA from 1 species
AGGGAAUUUUGCGCAAUGGGGGAAACCCUGACGCAGCAACGCCGCGUGAACGAUUAAGCCCUUCGGGGUGUAAAGUUCUGUCAGUAGGGACGAAACUUGACGGUACCUACAGAGGAAGCACCGGCUAACUCCGUGCCAGCAGCCGCGGUAAUACGGAGGGUGCGAGCGUUGUCCGGAAUCAUUGGGCGUAAAGAGUUCGUAGGUGGCAUGUAAAGUCCGGUGUUAAAUGCAGAGGCUCAACUUCUGUUCGGCACUGGAUACUUGCAAGCUAGAAUUCGGUAGAGGUAAAGGGAAUUCCUGGUGUAGCGGUGAAAUGCGUAGAUAUCAGGAGGAACAUCGGUGGCGUAAGCGCUUUACUGGGCCGAGAUUGACACUGAGGAACGAAAGCCGGGGUAGCAAAUGGGAUUAGAUACCCCAGUAGUCCCGGCCGUAAACGAUGGAUACUAGGUGUUGCGGGUAUCGACCCCUGCAGUGCCGGAGCUAACGCGUUAAGUAUCCCGCCUGGGGAGUACGCACGCAAGUGUGAAACUCAAAGGAAUUGACGGGGACCCGCACAAGCGGUGGAACAUGUGGUUUAAUUCGAAGCAACGCGAAGAACCUUACCAGGGCUUGACAUCUAACAAACCUUUAUGAAAGUAGAGGGUGCUCUUCGGAGAAUGUUAAGACAGGUGGUGCACGGUUGUCGUCAGCUCGUGUCGUGAGAUGUUGGGUUAAGUCCCGCAACGAGCGCAACCCUCGUCGUUAGUUGGAUAUAUCGGUAUACUGAUAUAUUCCUCUCUAGCGAGACUGCCGGUGAUAAACCGGAGGAAGGUGGGGACGACGUCAAAUCAUCAUGCCCCUUAUGCUCUGGGCUACACACGUGUUACAAUGGCUGGUACAACGAGCGGCCAACUCGCGAGAGUGAGCAAAUCUCUAAAAACCAGUCUCAGUUCGGAUUGCACUCUGCAACUCGAGUGCAUGAAGUCGGAAUCGCUAGUAAACGCAGAUCAGCACGCUGCGUUGAAUACGUUCCC